UACGGAGGGAGCUAGCGUUAUUCGGAAUUACUGGGCGUAAAGCGCACGUAGGCGGCUUUGUAAGUUAGAGGUGAAAGCCUGGAGCUCAACUCCAGAACUGCCUUUAAGACUGCAUCGCUUGAAUCCAGGAGAGGUGAGUGGAAUUCCGAGUGUAGAGGUGAAAUUCGUAGAUAUUCGGAAGAACACCAGUGGCGAAGGCGGCUCACUGGACUGGUAUUGACGCUGAGGUGCGAAAGCGUGGGGAUCAAACAGG
rnacentral:rRNA from 1 species